GCUGUCAAAUGUUUGUGAGUUGGUGGCAGAGAGGAAAGAGGCUAUGUCUAUUGGCAGAGAGGAAAGAGGCUAUGUCUAUUCUCAGUGUUCAGGCUUAUAGACAUCUGAAUGAUUAGUCACCUAACAGU